CCGCCGAGGGCCACGGUCGGCCGCCGAGGACCGACCGGAGCCACCAGCCACCCCCCCUCCUUCUCUUUCUUCUUCUUCUUCUUCUCCUUCUUCCUCUUCUUCUUCUUCCUCUUCUUCUUCUUCUUCUUCCGGCUGGGUGCUUUCCUUGCAUCGUUUUCUGUGCCCUGUUGGUGUCUCAAACCAGGCACAGAUGAACUUUGGGUGUUUCCUUGCAUCGAUUUCCGUGCCCUGUUGGUGUCACAAACCAGACACAAAUGAACUUUGAUCUGAUUGAACCAUCUUCUGACUGUGGAUCUGGUCUAGACUUGGGUUGGUCUAAUUUGAGUGUAAUCUGGUUUGUUAAGAUUUAAUCUAAUCUGGUCUGGUCAGACCUGGUUUGGGUUGGGCUAGGGACCUGUUUUUGGGCUGAGUUGGGUCUGAUUGGAUUUGUGGGCUGGUUUGGUAUGGGCCUGAGAUCUGAUCUGAACCUGUUAUCCGGUUUGGUUCAAUUGGGCCUAAUCUGUUUUGGGCCACAAUUGACUUGGGUCUAAAGGAUUCUGAUUUUAGGGUAUAUGUUUGAUCUUGGGGGCCC
rnacentral:lncRNA from 1 species